rnacentral:rRNA from 1 species
GAUGAACGCUAGCGGCAGGCUUAAUACAUGCAAGUCGAACGGUAAGGUUUCUUCGGAGACACACGAGUGGCGCACGGGUGCGUAACGCGUAUGCAACCUACCUAUAACUGGGGAAUAGCCCCGAGAAAUCGGGAUUAAUACUCCAUAACAUCCUUUGGAUGCAUAUCUGAGGGAUUAAAGCUCCGGCGGUUAUAGAUGGGCAUGCGUGGCAUUAGCUAGUUGGUGAGGUAACGGCUCACCAAGGCGACGAUGCCUAGGGGUCCUGAGAGGGUUAACCCCCACACUGGUACUGAGACACGGACCAGACUCCUACGGGAGGCAGCAGUAAGGAAUAUUGGGCAAUGGACGCAAGUCUGACCCAGCCAUGCCGCGUGAAGGAUGACUGCCCUAUGGGUUGUAAACUUUUUUUGUACGGGAAAAAACUCUCGGUCGUGCACCGGGACUGAUGGUACCGUGCGAAUAAGCAUCGGCUAACUCCGUGCCAGCAGCCGCCGUAAUAC